UACAGAGGUCUCAAGCGUUGUUCGGAUUCAUUGGGCGUAAAGGGUGCGUAGGCGGCGCGGUAAGUCGGGUGUGAAAUCUCGGAGCUUAACUCCGAAACUGCAUUCGAUACUGCCGUGCUUGAGGACUGGAGAGGAGACUGGAAUUUACGGUGUAGCGGUGAAAUGCGUAGAUAUCGUAAGGAAGACCAGCUGGCGGAAGGCGGGUCUC
rnacentral:rRNA from 1 species